rnacentral:rRNA from 1 species
ACGCCGCGUGAGUGAGGAAGGCCUUCGGGUUGUAAAGCUCUGUCAGGAGUUAAGAAAUGUAAGUGUGCUAAUACCACAUUUAUUUGACGAAGGCUCCAAAGGAAGCCACGGCUAACUCUGUGCCAGCAGCCGCGGUAAUACAGAGGUGGCAAGCGUUGUUCGGAAUUAUUGGGCGUAAAGAGCACGUAGGUGGGUUUGUAAGUCAGAUGUGAAAGCCUUCUGUUCAACGGAAGAAUUGCAUCUGAAACUGCGAGUCUUGAGUGUAGGAGGGGAGAAUGGAACUUCUGGUGGAGCGGUGAAAUGCGUAGAUAUCAGAAGGAACGCCGGCGGCGAAAGCGAUUCUCUGGCCUAUUACUGACGCUCAGUGUGCGAAAGCUAGGGGAGCAAACGGGAUUAGAUACCCCGGUAGUCCUAGCCGUAAACGAUGGGCACUAAGUAGAGGGAAUUACCGAUGUUCUCUCUGCCGUAGCUAACGCAUUAAGUGCCCCGCCUGGGGAGUACGGCCGCAAGGCUAAAACUCAAAAGAAUUGACGGGGGCUCGCACAAGCGGUGGAGCAUGUGGCUUAAUUCGAUGCAACGCGAAGAACCUUACCGGGGCUUGACAUGGUAGAAGUAGGAACCCGAAAGGGUAACGAACGGUAUCCAGUCCGUAACUAUCACAGGUGUUGCAUGGCUGUCGUCAGCUCGUGUCGUGAGACGUUGGGUUAAGUCCCCUAACGAGCGAAACCCUUGUUUUUAGUUACCAGCGGGUUGUACCGGGUACUCUAGAAAGACUGCCGUCGUCAAGACGGAGGAAGGUGGGGAUGACGUCAAGUCAUCAUGGCCCUUAUGCCCCGGGCUGCACACGUGCUACAAUGGUCGGUACAAA